UAGGGAAUCUUCGGCAAUGGGGGCAACCCUGACCGAGCAACGCCGCGUGAGUGAAGAAGGUUUUCGGAUCGUAAAGCUCUGUUGUAAGAGAAGAACGUGUGUGAGAGUGGAAAGUUCACACAGUGACGGUAACUUACCAGAAAGGGACGGCUAACUACGUGCCAGCAGCCGCGGCAAUACGUAGGUCCCGAGCGUUGUCCGGAUUUAUUGGGCGUAAAGCGAGCGCAGGCGGUUUAAUAAGUCUGAAGUUAAAGGCAGUGGCUUAACCAUUGUUCGCUUUGGAAACUGUUAAACUUGAGUGCAGAAGGGGAGAGUGGAAUUCCAUGUGUCGCGGUGAAAUGCGUAGAUAUAUGGAGGAACACCGGUGGCGAAAGCGGCUCUCUGGUCUGUAACUGACGCUGAGGCUCGAAAGCGUGGGGAGCAAACAGG
rnacentral:rRNA from 1 species